GCCUCCGCCGUUGGCCCGGUGGGCCCAUUGUCCCGGGCCGAGAUGGAGAAGGGGGGCCGGGGCCGGGGCCCCCCAGCCGGCCCCCCAGCCCGAGCCCACCCCCGGCUCCUCCUGCUGCUCCGCUGCCUGGUGGUGGUCCUGGGCUGCCCCAAAGCCUGCGGGCUGUCUGAGGAGGAAGAGCCCAGGUACGUCGUUACCGCCACCGAAUUCCAAGAGGCGAUUUUAGUGUGCAAGGCCCCGAAGAAGGCGGCGGCCUCCAGGUUAGAGUGGAAGAAGCUGGGACGCGGCCUCUCCUUCGUAUACUACCAAGAGGCGCUUCAAGGGGAUUUUCGGUCCCGGGCGGAGAUGAUCGGCCUGGACAUCCGAAUCAAGAACGUGAGCCGCGGGGACGCCGGUCACUACCGCUGCGAGGUCAGCGCGCCCUCGGACCGUGGGCAGCAUCUCCAGGAGCAGUCCCUCCUCCUGAAAGUGCUCGUGGCCCCGGCCGUCCCGGGGUGCCAGGUGCCCAGCUCCGCCCUGAGCGGGACCGUGGUGGAGCUGAGGUGUCGAGAGGAAGAGGGCAUCCCCGCGUCCGAGUACUCCUGGUUCCGGGAUGGGGUGCGCCUGCCGGACGGCCCCGCGGGACGCCUCGCCGUCACCAACAGCUCCUACACGCUCGACCGCAAGUCGGGGACCCUGCAGUUCAAUACCGUUUCGGCGCUGGACAGUGGGGUGUACGUCUGUGAGGCCCACAACGCCGUCGGAUCGCGCAGGUGCCCGGGGAAGACGAUGCAAGUCGAUGAUCUGAACGUGGGCGGAAUCGUGACAGCGGCCGUCGUCGUGAUCUUGGUGAUGGCGUUCUGCGGCCUGGGCGUCUGCUACGCUCAGAAAAAAGGAUACUUUUCCAGAGGAACGACUCGGACCCCAAAGCCGCUCCCGGGAACGAAAGCGAUUUCAGACACACCAAAUCCUUCGUCAUUUAGAAGCCCCCACCCCCGCCAAAUGCCCCCCAAGAGGAGAACCCCAAGUCCCCUUCUCUGCCAAGUGCGCCGGGCCACUUCUGGAGCCGGUCACCCCCGCCCGGGGGUCCCGCCGAGCCCGCACCACAGCCGGUGACGUCCCCCGGGCCCGCGGACCGGCUGGCCGGACGACAGCUUCCCCGAGCCCACCCGGGAUCCGAGCCCCUGGACCCUCGGUGUCCGGCUUUGGUUCUGGGCCCGCGUCCGGCCCGCUGGGGCAGAAGGCAGGAAGCCAGCCCGCCCCCCACCAUCACAAUUAACACCGCUGCGUCCAAACGGCCCAUCCCGCCGCCACCGUCCAGCGGGGAGAACAAUAGCCGGCGAGGAAGGGCUGACCCCUCGCUGGCUCCGGGCCCGGAGAAGGGAGGAGCGGGAGGCCAACGGAAAGCCUCGGGCAACCCGCACCUUAACACAAGGCCCGCGCCGAAGCGCGUGGUCCGUCAAGAGUUUGGCCCGGAAGAAAACCGGGCAGCUCUGCCAAGGACGCCAGUCUCCCCCAACUCAAGGAAAAAUGAGGGGCGGUAGUAGCCACCCACCGCAGACGAGGUAGCCUUGUUUCCAGGCCGGGAUGCGUGUGGAUUGCCAAGUGGGGUCCCCUGGAAACGUCCCUCAGCGUCCAAGGAAGGUCAGGCCUGAAAGAUCCUCUCCUUCCCCCGUUGCUGGGCACAGACACCUCGGACUGGAAGCAGAGAAGGUGGGAAUUUCGACCGCGCCACCGGGAAGCCGGCGGUCCCAGCCGACCCCCCAUCUCCUCGCCAUCUGGACCAACAGUGGGGAGGGGGUGAUCGCCCCCCGAGAGCGGGGCCCCGACGUCACGCUUGUGCGGACCGAGAGACGUCAAGGGAGGACGCCGGGCCGAGGCGGGGAUUCGCGCUACCCUUCGGGCUCGCUAUCUUCUUCCGCAACUGCAGGAAAACAAGUUGGCACCUUGACUUUACAAAACCCAGGAGGAAGUCAUCUUUCCCGACGUCCUUCGGGGCACCACGCUCCCAUUCGUCAGCUCGCGGACACAAGGCAGGGCGCUACUCCCAAAAGUGGCAGCGCCAUCGUCUCAUCCAAGACGCUAGCGCUCCAGCCCCAAACAAGCCUAGAUUUUCCCAGUGCCUGGGGUAUCUCCUCCGUCCCCCCACCCCGGUGAUGGCUGUCCAAACCAAGUCGCCAUUUGAGAGGUCACAAACGUCCAACGUCCACACCAGCGAGCUCCAAUCGGGGCUCAGGCCAUCCCGGUUAUCCGCUGAAAGAUCCGCGUUCAAAAAGCACAAGUCCCGCUCAGACCUUCAAACCAUCACCCGCUUCCAACCUGAAAUCGAGGUCAUCGGCCGAGCUCCGACACCUUUCCCAGGCCACGGGAGACACCCGCAUUAAGCGGCCCUAGCCGGAGAGUCACGAGGCGGAUAUUUUUGGCCUCUCCGGAGCUCGAAUACUUUCAUCUUGAAGAUCUGCCCAUAGCGGCGGAAAUGGCAAUUCUCCAGUACGAAGGCAAGCGUAUUUUGACACCGAUUUUUUUUUUAACGUAUUAAAACGAUUCCACACCAGAUCGCCAACUGUGUUUUCUCACUCUGGAAUUGGGGCGGGAGCUUGAUGAAUUCUGCAGCAACUUUUGAGACAUUUAGCACCUCCAUUUGCCAAUAUCGCUUUUUUUUUUUAGAAAGGAGAUGUCCGCUCGCUCUCGCUAGACCGUCAGCUCCUCGUGGGCAGGCAACGCCUACCGACUGCUGUAUUGUACUAUUCCAAGCGCUUAGCAUAGUGCUCUGCGCACAGAAAGCACUCAAUAAAUAUCCUGA